rnacentral:rRNA from 2 species
AAGUAAGCUACUAAGGGCGUGCGGUGGAUGCCUAGGUGCCAAGAGGCGAUGAAGGACGUGGGUGGCUGCGAUAAGCUUCGGGGAGUUGCCAACCAAACGUUGAUCCGGAGAUGUCCGAAUGGGGAAACCCAGCGCGGCGAAUAGCUGCGUUACUCCAGUCUGAAUCCAUAGGGCUGCGAGAGCGAACCAGGGGAAGUGAAACAUCUCAGUACCCUGAGGAAGAGAAAACAACGAGUGAUUCCCAAAGUAGUGGCGAGCGAAAUGGGAAGAGGCCAAACCAACGUCAUGCAAAUGGCGGUGGGGUAGCGGGUCCGCGGUAGGACUCUGACAGGCUAGUGGAAGCGUCCUGGAAAGACGCACCAAAGAGCGUGAUAGUCGCGUACACGAAAGCCAGUUGGAGCUGAGCGGGUUACCCAAGUAAGACGGGACACGUGCAAUCCUGUCUGAAUCUGCCGGGACCAUCCGGUAAGCCUAAAUACUCCUUGGCGACCGAUAGUGAACAAGUACCGCGAGGGAAAGGUGAAAAGAACCCCGGUGAGGGGAGUCAAAAGAACCUGAAACCGCAUGUCUACAAGCAGUUCGAGCACUACGGCGCAAGCCAGUGCGAGAGCGUACCUUUUGCAUCAUGAUUCGGCGACUUAAUAUACGUAGCGAGGCUAAGCCGAUAGGUGGAGCCGGAGCGAAAGCGAGUCCGAACAGGGCGUCGAGUUGCGUGUAUUAUAACCCGAAGCGGGGUGAUCUACACAUGGCCAGGUUGAAGUGCGGGUAACACCGCAUGGAGGACCGAACUCAUGAAAGUUGAAAAUUUCUGGGAUGAGCUGUGUGUAGGGGUGAAAGGCCAAUCAAACUCCGUGAUAGCUGGUUCUCCCCGAAAGAUAUUUAGGUAUCGGCUCGGGCAAUUCAAUGCCGGAGGUAGAGCACUGGAACGGCUAGGGGUCUCACCAGAUUACCAAACCGUACCAAACUCCGAAUGCCGGCAAUUGUUAUCCCGGGACGCAGUCAGUGGGUGAUAACGUCCAUUGGCAAGAGGGGAAUAACCCAGACCGACAGCUAAGGCCCCCAAAUCUAGUCUAAGUGAACACUAGAAAGGAUGUGGCAGGUCAUUGACAACCAGGAGGUUGGCUUAGAAGCAGCCAUCCUUUAAAGAAAGCGUAAUAGCUCAC